rnacentral:rRNA from 1 species
UCGAACGGUAACAGGAUGUGCUUGCWCAUCGCUGACGAGUGGCGGACGGGUGAGUAAUGCUUGGGAACUUGCCUUUGCGAGGGGGAUAACAGUUGGAAACGACUGCUAAUACCGCAUAAUGUCUUCGGACCAAACGGGGCUUAGGCUCCGGCGCAAAGAGAGGCCCAAGUGAGAUUAGCUAGUUGGUAAGGUAACGGCUUACCAAGGCGACGAUCUCUAGCUGUUCUGAGAGGAAGAUCAGCCACACUGGGACUGAGACACGGCCCAGACUCCUACGGGAGGCAGCAGUGGGGAAUAUUGCACAAUGGGGGAAACCCUGAUGCAGCCAUGCCGCGUGUGUGAAGAAGGCCUUCGGGUUGUAAAGCACUUUCAGUUGUGAGGAAAAGUUAGUAGUUAAUACCUGCUAGCCGUGACGUUAACAACAGAAGAAGCACCGGCUAACUCCGUGCCAGCAGCCGCGGUAAUACGGAGGGUGCGAGCGUUAAUCGGAAUUACUGGGCGUAAAGCGCACGCAGGCGGUUUGUUAAGCUAGAUGUGAAAGCCCCGGGCUCAACCUGGGAUGGUCAUUUAGAACUGGCAGACUAGAGUCUUGGAGAGGGGAGUGGAAUUCCAGGUGUAGCGGUGAAAUGCGUAGAUAUCUGGAGGAACAUCAGUGGCGAAGGCGACUCCCUGGCCAAAGACUGACGCUCAUGUGCGAAAGUGUGGGUAGCGAACAGGAUUAGAUACCCUGGUAGUCCACACCGUAAACGCUGUCUACUAGCUGUGUGUGCCUUUAAGGCGUGCGUAGCGAAGCUAACGCGAUAAGUAGACCGCCUGGGGAGUACGGCCGCAAGGUUAAAACUCAAAUGAAUUGACGGGGGCCCGCACAAGCGGUGGAGCAUGUGGUUUAAUUCGAUGCAACGCGAAGAACCUUACCUACACUUGACAUGCUGAGAACUUU